rnacentral:rRNA from 1 species
GACGAACGCUGGCGGCGUGCUUAACACAUGCAAGUCGAACGGAAAGGCCCUUCGGGGUACUCGAGUGGCGAACGGGUGAGUAACACGUGGGUGAUCUGCCCUGCACUUUGGGAUAAGCCUGGGAAACUGGGUCUAAUACCGGAUAGGACCACGGCAUGCAUGUGCUGUGGUGGAAAGCUUUUGCGGUGUGGGAUGGGCCCGCGGCCUAUCAGCUUGUUGGUGAGGUUACGGCUCACCAAGGCGACGACGGGUAGCCGGCCUGAGAGGGUGUCCGGCCACACUGGGACUGAGAUACGGCCCAGACUCCUACGGGAGGCAGCAGUGGGGAAUAUUGCACAAUGGGCGCAAGCCUGAUGCAGCGACGCNAAAUGAGGGAUGACGGCCUUCGGGUUGUAAACCUCUUUCGCCAGGGACGAAGCGCAAGUGAC